CAGUAGCCACGGGAAUACGGAGGGUGCAAGCGUUAAUCGGAAUUACUGGGCGUAAAGCGCACGCAGGCGGUCUGACAAGUCAGAUGUGAAAUCCCCGGGCUUAACCUGGGAACUGCAUUUGAAACUGUCAGGCUGGAGUCUUGUAGAUGGGGGUAGAAUUCCAGGUGUAGCGGUGAAAUGCGUAGAGAUCUGGAGGAAUACCGGUGGCGAAGGCGGCCCCCUGGACAAAGACUGACGCUCAGGUGCGAAAGCGUGGGGAGCAAACAGGAUUAGAUACCCGAGUAGUCCCUGUCUCUUAUAC
rnacentral:rRNA from 1 species